rnacentral:rRNA from 1 species
GACGAACGCUGGCGGCGUGCUUAACACAUGCAAGUCGAACGGAAAGGCCCCCUUGUGGGGUACUCGAGUGGCGAACGGGUGAGUAACACGUGAGUAACCUACCCUUGACUUUGGGAUAACUUCAGGAAACUGGGGCUAAUACCGGAUAGGAGCUCCUGCUGCAUGGUGGGGGUUGGAAAGUUUCGGCGGUUGGGGAUGGACUCGCGGCUUAUCAGCUUGUUGGUGGGGUAGUGGCUCACCAAGGCUUUGACGGGUAGCCGGCCUGAGGGGGUGACCGGCCACAUUGGGACUGAGAUACGGCCCAGACUCCUACGGGAGGCAGCAGUGGGGAAUAUUGCACAAUGGGCGGAAGCCUGAUGCAGCAACGCCGCGUGCGGGAUGACGGCCUUCGGGUUGUAAACCGCUUUCGCCUGUGACGAAGCGUGAGUGACGGUAAUGGGUAAAGAAGCACCGGCUAACUACGUG